ensembl:lncRNA
CCUCCCUCCUCUCCUCCAUCUCUCCUCCAUCCUCUCCUCCCUCCUCUCCUCCAUUCUCUCCUCCAUCCUCUCCUCCCUUCUCCACAUACAGUAGCAUCUCUCCUCCGUCCUCUCCUCCAUCUCUCCUCCAUCCUCUCCUCCCUUCUUUUACAUUUACAUUUACAUUUACAUUUAGUCAUUUAGCAGACGCUUUUGUCCAAAGCGACGUACAAGGGAGAGAAUAGUCAAGCUAAGAGCAAUAGAACCUGGUGUAACAAUAAAUACUACUUUACAUGAGAAAUAUAACAAAAUUAAAGAAAAAAGAAAAAAGAAGUGCAGAAAUGUAACUGCUGUAAUUGCAAGUUACGCACUAGUCGAAGUGCCAGUUACAUACAGUACAGUAGCAUCCAGCAUCCAAGGGCACGACUGCAGGGCUCUACAGUGCUCAAGCUCUGAUCACCCAUACCUGGACCCUCAGGUCAGCGGUCCAAACACACUCUCCCCAUCUCCCCUAGCAGAUCCAUAUCUGCAUGUGAACUCGAGAGGCACGGGGUGACCGUGGGGUCAGGGGGGUGCUGUCGAUAGCCCAAGCUCUGCAGAAUGCCUGUGAACUCCUGGAUGCCUGGAAAGCAUUUUGUUUGACACUCUCGUGUGUUGUGUUGUGUUGUGUUGUGUUUUUUUCUUUCUUUGUUCCUCCCCCUUUUUCGAUGCCUAACCCCCUUCUCUCUCAUUCUACACAAGGGGCUCUGAGUGCUACAGAUACAAGAGUGAGAGAGAGAGAGAGAGUGAGAGAGAGGGAGAGAGAGAGAGUGAGGGAGAGAGAGGGAGAGAGAGUGAGAGAGAGAGAGAGAGAGGGAGAGAGGGAGAGAGAGAGUGAGAGAGAGAGUGAGAGAGAGAGAGAGAGAGUUUAGAGGGAAAAAGUCAAUGCACUUGAACAGGGAUGAGAGGGGUUUUAUCUUGAGCGGUGGAGGGUUCCUUCCAGUGAAUUAUUCAUCAGCAGAGAGGCACACAGCGCGUGCGUGCACACACACAUACACACACACGUACACACAUCAAUUCAC